CCCAGACUCCUACGGGAGGCAGCAGUGGGGAAUAUUGCACAAUGGGGGAAACCCUGAUGCAGCGACGCCGCGUGAGCGAUGAAGUAUUUCGGUAUGUAAGGCUCUAUCAGCAGGGAAGAAAAUGACGGUACCUGACUAAGAAGCCCCGGCUAACUACGUGCCAGCAGCCGCGGUAAUACGGAGGAUGCGAGCGUUAUCCGGAUUUAUUGGGUUUAAAGGGUGCGCAGGCGGAGGCACAAGUCAGCGGUAAAAUCGCGGGGCUCACCCCCGCUCCGCCGUUGAAACUGUGUCCCUUGAGUGCGCGAAGGGUAGGCGGAAUGCGUGGUGUAGCGGUGAAAUGCAUAGAUAUCACGCAGAACUCCGAUCGCGAAGGCAGCCUACCGGCGCGCAGCUGACGCUCAUGCACGAAAGCGUGGGUAUCGAACAGGAUUAGAUACCCCAGUA
rnacentral:rRNA from 1 species